UGUAUUAUAUUUACCGAUAAACACCUAUUGGAGCCGAGAUCCUACUAUUCGAUAUUCGUCUAUGGAUCCUACUCUGUUCAUGUACCUUUUUCUUUUAUUUAGUUUUUUUCAAAGGUUUUUUUUUCAACCAAAAACAAUUACGUCAAUACACCAUUCAAAAUCAUGUCAAACGAUAAUAAAAUGUCGUCAAAGAGACUCGCUAAUUUUCUGCUCAAACCGAACAAACUUAGUAUAAUUCCAAAACGGUAUUGGACCCAAGUUGGACUGGUCGUGUGUGUGCCUCCGAGACAUCGCACUUCGUAUCUGACAACUAUACUACACAUGGGGUUCAUGUAUGUGGUCUGGUUGACUCCUAUAGCAUACUGUCUCACACAAGUCAAGGUCUGGAGGAAAAUGUACGUUGAAUGAGAUGAAAUAAACAUUUUGAUAUUUUA